ensembl:lncRNA
GUUGGAGAAUAAAUGGCGAGGGAUCUGAGAGCGUUCCUCCAUACAGAAUCUCUCCAGAUCCUUCACAUUUCGAGGUCCACACUGGUGGACUCUCCUCUUCAGUUCACCCCACAGGUGUUCUAUGGGGUUCAGGUCAGGGGACUGGGAUGGUCCAUUUCUGUGUUGAUGUUGAUGAUGUUUUGGAUCAUCGUCCUGCUGGAAGAUCCAACCACGGCCCCUUUGAAGCUUUCUGGCAGAGGCAGUCAGGCUUCAUUUAAUAUCUGUUGAUAUUUGAUGGAGUCCAUGAUGCCAUGUAUCCUAACAAAAUGUCCAGGUCCUCUGCAGAAAAACAGCCCCAAAACAUUAAAGAUCCUCCUCCAUAUUUAACCGUGGGCAUGAGCGACUUUUCCAUACGGCUACCUCUCUGUGUGCUCCAAAACCACCUCUGUGUUUAUCACCAAAAAGCUCUAUUCUGGUUUCAUCUGACCAUAGAACCCGAUCCCAUUUGAAGUUCCAGUAGUGUCGGCACACUGAAGACGCUCAAGUUUGUUUUUGGAUGAGAGUAGAGGCUUUUUUCUUGAACCCCUUCCAAACAGCUUGUGGUGAUGUCGGUGACUUCAGAUUGUAGUUUUGGAGACUUUCUGACUCCAAGACACGACUAACUCCUGCAGUUCUCCAGCUGUGAUCCUUGGAGAUGUUUUAUCCACUCGAACCGUCCUCUUCACAGUGUGUUGAGACGAUAUAGACACACGUCCAAUUCCAGGUCGAUUCAUAACAUUUCCAGUCAACUGGAACUUCUUCAUUAUUGCCCUGAUGGUGGAAAUGGGCGUUUUCAAUGCUUGUGCUAUUUUAUUAU